rnacentral:piRNA from 1 species
UAUGCUGGCUUCGUCAAUCCCCUGGAUAC